GCGGCUGGGCGCAGCUGUGGUGAGGAGAAAACAGAGGGAGAACGAGAGAGAGGGAGAGAGGUCGAAGGGGGCGAGAGAUGAGGGAAGAAGGGAGAUAGGAAGAAGGGGGAAGGGAGAGGAGGCAGGGCCGCCGGCUCCGGUGGCGGCGCUGNGCCGGUCGCCUCACUCUUCCCUCUUCGUUCUCCCCAUCUCGCCUUUCUCUCCUCUGAUUCCACAGGAAAUCCCCAAUUUCUCAAUCCCUAAUAUCUCUUCGGUCGAAAUUCCGGCAAGCCGCCGCGCCUCACUCUUCCCCUCUUCGUUCUCCCCAUCUCGCCUCUCUCUCCUUCUGAUGCCACAGGAAAUCCCCAAUUUCUCAAUCCCUAAUAUCUCUUCGCUCUAAAUUCCGGCAAGCCGACUCACCCCCACUACCACCUGCGAUUCUUCCUCUUCGUAUCACGGCCGAAACCGCUGCCCCCUUCCUCCUCCAUGGACCGGUCGAACACAGCCCAAACAUCCCCGUAUCAAGAUUAAACUUGUAAGUUUUUAUUUCAUUCUUCCGUCUUUGUUCCAAGUGAUCGAUCGAUGUAAAGGUCCAUAUGUCUAUCAUCUGUGACAUGAUUUUGUUAUGAUAUCUAUCUGAAAAUAGAUUGUGGUUUCUUCAAAUUGUCCUUAUGCAGUGACAAUGGGUUUCGGUGAUGGAUUUGACUAUGAUUCUGUAUCUGUAGGGAUUGAAUUAUGAAGAACUGAAUUGAGAGUAUAAGCGGAAGAAACUAUGAUAGAGGGGUGGGGAGUAAUCUCAUCUCAAGUAAGUGGGGAAGAUUUCCUUAAUGGUGGGAGAACGAGAGAGAGGGAGAGAGGUCGAAGGGGGCGAGAGAUGAGGGAAGAAGGGAGAUAGGAAGAAGGGGGAAGGGAGAGGAGGCAGGGCCGCCGGCUCCGGUGGCGGCGCUGCCGUCUGGAGGCGGCAGCAGGAGGGAGACCGAGAGGGAGAACAUGUUUUGCCCUUAAUGGUGGGC
rnacentral:lncRNA from 1 species